GGAGAACUUCUUUUGGGCAAGGAUAAUAUUGGUGUCUUAGUUGACCAAAAUGGAAAGUUGAUCCAAGAGGGCAGGGUUUGUUGGUCAGAGGCUCCUGCAAUUGUUGUUGUUCAGAAGCCCUAUGCCAUAGGUCUUUUACCGCGACAUGUUGAGAUACGCUCUCUUCGUGUUCCUUAUCCUUUGAUUCAAACAGUUGUCCUUCGGAAUGUUCGUCGUCUUGUUCGAAGCAACAAUGCUGUCAUUGUUGCUCUUGAUAAUUCUGUUUUUGGAUUUUUCCCUGUUCCUCUCGGUGCACAGAUUGUACAACUAACAGCCUCUGGAAACUUUGAGGAGGCCUUGGCUUUGUGCAAAUUGCUACCACCAGAAGAUUCAAGUCUUAGAUCUGCAAAGGAGCAAUCAAUUCAUAUAAGAUAUGCACACUUCCUGUUUGAAAAUGGGAGCUAUGAAGAAGCAAUGGAACAUUUUCUGGCAUCUCAAGUUGAACUCACUUAUGUGCUUGCCUUAUAUCCAUCCAUUAUUGUUCCAAAAUCAUCUUUC
rnacentral:misc_RNA from 1 species